UGGGGAAUAUUGGACAAUGGGCGCAAGCCUGAUCCAGCAACGCCGCGUGGAGGACGAAGGUCUUCGGAUUGUAAACUCCUGUCAGGUGGGACGAAGGUCUGGGGGCAAAUAGUUCUCAGGCUUGACGGUACCACCAGAGGAAGCCCCGGCUAACUCCGUGCCAGCAGCCGCGGUAAUACGGAGGGGGCUAGCGUUAUUCGGAAUCAUUGGGCGUAAAGGGCGCGUAGGGCGGGCGCGGUAAGUCAAAGGUGAAAUCCCUCGGCUCAACUGAGGAACUGCCUUUGAAACUGUCGUGCUUGAGUCCGGGAGGGGGUAGCGGAAUUCCCAGUGUAGCGGUGAAAUGCGUAGAUAUUGGGAGGAACACCAGUGGCGAAGGCGGCUACCUGGACCGGAACUGACGCUGAUGCGCGAAAGCGUGGGGAGCAAACAGGAUUAGAUACCCUGGUAGUCCACGCUGUAAACGAUGGGUGCUCGGUGUCGCGGGUAUCGACCCCUGCGGUGCCUUAGCUAACGCGUUAAGCACCCCGCCUGGGGA
rnacentral:rRNA from 1 species